ensembl:lncRNA
GCAGAAAUUGUUAAUGAGAAACUCAGUCCUUGCAGGACAGUAGUUGUGCGUUUUUUGGGAGCGGAGGCCUGCGUUGAACGAAUUUCGGCCAAAGUUCAAGAUGCCGUGGGCUCUGAUGAGCCUAUUACCUUGACGGACACCCAAGGAAACAAAAUAAUGGACUCUGAGGGCACAAGAAGUUCCCAGUUCUGGAAACAGAACUCAAGAAAAAUAUAUGCUGUGCCUGAAAGUGACUUUGUGGAGUUUCAGAAUGGGAGAAGAGCUAAAACAAGUCGAAGGGAUGGAGAUUCAAGCCUGCAGGAGGUCCUUGGACGUGUUGACCAGCUGAAGCAAGCCGCCGGGAGUCUCCAAGGUCACUAAUUCAAUCAACCAGCUGUCUCAGCUGGCCAAGUCUCAAAAGGAGGAGAUCAUGGCAAAUGUCGGUUUGCAGCCCUUAAAGGAAGCCUUUGCAUGUCUUGUGU